rnacentral:rRNA from 1 species
UUGAGGUUCACCUCUUCCCAUUCCGAACAGAGAAGUUAAGCUCAACAGCGCAGAUGGUACUGGGUAAAACCGGGAGAGUAUGUCAUCGCCAUUU